UACGUAGGGUGCAAGCGUUGUCCGGAAUUAUUGGGCGUAAAGAGCUCGUAGGCGGUCUGUCGCGUCUGCUGUGAAAACUCGGGGCUUAACCCCGGGCCUGCAGUGGGUACGGGCUGGCUAGAGGUAGGUAGGGGCAAGCGGAAUUCCUGGUGUAGCGGUGAAAUGCGCAGAUAUCAGGAGGAACACCGGUGGCGAAGGCGGCUUGCUGGGCCUUACCUGACGCUGAGGAGCGAAAGCGUGGGGAGCGAACAGG
rnacentral:rRNA from 1 species